rnacentral:rRNA from 1 species
AUUGAACGCUGGCGGCAGGCCUAACACAUGCAAGUCGAACGAGUGGCGGACGGGUGAGUAAUGUAUGGGAAACUGCCUGAUGGAGGGGGAUAACUACGGGAAACGGUAGAUAAUACCGCAUACCAUCAGCUGUGCCCAGGUGGGAUUAGCUAGUUGGUGGGGUAACGGCUCACCAAGGCGACGAUCCCUAGCUGGUCUGAGAGGAUGACGAGCGACACUAGAACUGAGACAGGGUCAAGACUCCGUCGAGAGGCCGAAGUGGGAAGGAUUGCACAAUGGGCGCAAGCCUGAUGCAGACAGGCCGCGUGUAUGAAGAAGGCCUUCGGAUUGUAAAGUACUUUCAGCGGGGAGGCGUUACCCGCAGGAGAAAGACCGGCUAACUCCGAUCCAGCAGCCGCGGUAAUUC